rnacentral:rRNA from 1 species
AAGUGAUGAUUAUUGGAGGUAGAGCACUGUUUGGACGAGGGGCCCCUCUCGGGUUACCGAAUUCAGACAAACUCCGAAUGCCAAUUAAUUUAACUUGGGAGUCAGAACAUGGGUGAUAAGGUCCGUGUUCGAAAGGGAAACAGCCCAGACCACCAGCUAAGGUCCCAAAAUAUAUGUUAAGUGGAAAAGGAUGUGGCGUUGCCCAGACAACUAGGAUGUUGGCUUAGAAGCAGCCAUCAUUUAAAGAGUGCGUAAUAGCUCACUAGUCGAGUGACACUGCGCCGAAAAUGUACCGGGGCUAAACAUAUUACCGAAGCUGUGGAUUGUCCUUUGGACAAUGGUAGGAGAGCGUUCUAAGGGCGUUGAAGCAUGAUCGUAAGGACAUGUGGAGCGCUUAGAAGUGAGAAUGCCGGUGUGAGUAGCGAAAGACGGGUGAGAAUCCCGUCCACCGAUUGACUAAGGUUUCCAGAGGAAGGCUCGUCCGCUCUGGGUUAGUCGGGUCCUAAGCUGAGGCCGACAGGCGUAGGCGAUGGAUAACAGGUUGAUAUUCCUGUACCACCUAUAAUCGUUUUAAUCGAUGGGGGGACGCAGUAGGAUAGGCGAAGCGUGCGAUUGGAUUGCACGUCUAAGCAGUAAGGCUGAGUAUUAGGCAAAUCCGGUACUCGUUAAGGCUGAGC